rnacentral:rRNA from 1 species
GACGAACGCUGGCGGCGUGCUUAACACAUGCAAGUCGAACGGAAAGGGCCUGGUUUGGUUGGGUGCUCGAGUUGCGAACGGGUGAGUAACGCGUGAGUAACCUGCCCUGGACUGUGGGAUAACUUCAGGAAACGGGGGCUAAUACCGGAUAGGAGCUCCUGCUGCAUGGUGGGGGUUGGAAAGUUUCGGUGGUUGGGGUUGGAGUCGCGGCUUAGUAGUUUUUUGGUGGGGGGGUGGCUUACCAAGGCUUUGACGGGUAGCCGGCCUGGGAGGGUGACCGGGCACAUUGGGAUAGAGAUAGGGGCCAGAGUGCUACGGGGGGAAGCAGUGGAGGAUAGUGCGCAAUGGGCGGAAGCCUGAUGGAGGAACGGCGCGUGCGGGAUGUCGGCCGUCGGGUUAGAACGCGCUUUAGACUGUGACGAAGAGUGAGUGACGGUAACGGGUAAAAAAGCACCGGCUAACUACGUG